UACGUAGGGUGCGAGCGUUGUCCGGAAUUAUUGGGCGUAAAGAGUUCGUAGGCGGUUCUUGAAGUCCGCUUUGAAAGCCCCGGGCUUAACCUGGGAAUGGCAGUGGAAACUGGGGGACUUGAAUUGAGCAGAGGGGGGUGGAAUGCCGUGUGUAGCAGUGAAAUGCGUAGAGAUGCGGCGGAACACCGAUGGCGAAGGCAGCCCCCUGGGCUUAAAUUGACGCUGAGGCACGAAAGCGUGGGGAGCAAACAGG
rnacentral:rRNA from 1 species